GACGAACGCUGGCGGCGUGCUUAACACAUGCAAGUCGAACGGAAAGGCCCUGCUUUUGUGGGGUGCUCGAGUGGCGAACGGGUGAGUAACACGUGAGUAACCUGCCCUUGACUUUGGGAUAACUUCAGGAAACUGGGGCUAAUACCGGAUAGGAGCUCCUGCUGCAUGGUGGGGGUUGGAAAGUUUCGGCGGUUGGGGAUGGACUCGCGGCUUAUCAGCUUGUUGGUGGGGUAGUGGCUUACCAAGGCUUUGACGGGUAGCCGGCCUGAGAGGGUGCCCGGCCACAUUGGGACUGCGAUACGGCCCAGACUCCUACGGGAGGCAGCAGUGGGGAAUAUUGCACAAUGGGCGGACGCCUGAUGCAGCAACGCCGCGUGCGGGAUGACGGCCUUCGGGUUGUAAACCGCUUUCGCCUGUGACGAAGCGUGAGUGACGGUAAUGGGUAAAGAAGCACCGGCUAACUACGUG
rnacentral:rRNA from 1 species